rnacentral:rRNA from 1 species
GACGAACGCUGGCGGCGUGCCUAAUACAUGCCAGUCGAACGAACCGCGACUAGGUGCUUGCACUUGGUCAAGGUGAGUGGCGAACGGGUGAGUAACACGUGGGUAACCUACCUCAUAGUGGGGGAUAACAGUCGGAAACGACUGCUAAUACCGCAUAGGACAUAGGCUCACAUGAUCCAGUGAGGAAAGGUGGCGCAAGCUAUCGCUAAGAGAUGGACCCGCGGUGCAUUAGCUAGUUGGUAGGGUAAAGGCCUACCAAGGCGAUGAUGCAUAGCCGACCUGAGAGGGUGAUCGGCCACAUUGGGACUGAGACACGGCCCAAACUCCUACGGGAGGCAGCAGUAGGGAAUCUUCCGCAAUGGACGCAAGUCUGACGGAGCAACGCCGCGUGAGUGAAGAAGGUCUUCGGAUCGUAAAGCUCUGUUGUUAGAGAAGAACAGCGCAUAGAGUAACUGUUAUGCGUGUGACGGUAUCUAACCAGAAAGCCACGGCUAACUACGUG